rnacentral:rRNA from 1 species
AAUACGUUCCCGGACCUUGCACACACCGCCCGUCAAGCCAUGGAAGCUGGUGUACCUAAAGUCGGUAACCGCAAGGGAGCUGCCUAAGGGUAAAACUAGUAACUGGGGCU